ACAGAGGAUGAGAUGAUUGGAUGGCAUCACUGACUCGACGGACGUGAGUUUGAGCAACCUCUGAGAAUUGGUAAUGGACCGGGAGGCCUGACGUGUUGUAUUCCAUGGGGUCACAAAAAGCUGGACACAACUGAGCGACUGAACUGAUAGCUGCAGUCGCCAAGUCGUGUCCAACUCUUCGUGACCCCAAGGACUGCAGCACGCCAGGUUUCCCUGUCCAUCACCAUCUCCUGGAGUUUGCCCAAUCUCAUGUCCAUUGCAUUGGUGAUGCCAUCCAACCAUCUCAUCCUCCGUCGCCCUCUUCUCCUUCUGCCUUCAAUCUUUCCCAGCAUCAAGGUCUUUUCCAGUGAGUUGGCUCUUUGCAUCAGGUGGCCAAAGGAUUGGAACUUCAGCUUCAGCAUCAGAAUUUCCAGACAGGGGAGAUGCUACAAGAUGAGUUGAUGUCCUGAGGGCGGGGCCCUGAGUAUUCCCACAGUGGAGUGCCCAUCUGCGGAGAACUUGUAAAUGAUCAUAGAGUGGAACUGAAGGUCAACUGCCUUAUAUUCCCGGCCACCUGCCAGCCACUCUCCUACACCUAGCGCAUCUCAGACUUCUUGCUACAAGCUGUGAGCUGCAGAGGGAGGCCCAGGAUACGGAAAAGGCCACUGGGCAUCAGAGAUGUCUUCCUUCACCUUAUUCACCAACUCUUACCUUGAAGUGUGGUCCUCUCAUGCAUCUCUUUUCUGUGUCCUUAUGUAAGUAGAAGAAGUUUCAGUUAGUUGCUCAGUCGUGUCCGACUCUUUGCGACCCCAUGGACUGCAGCACACCAGGCCUCCCUGUCCAUCACCAACUCCUGGAGUUUACUCAAACUCAUGUCCAUCGAGUCACUGAUGCCAUCCAACCAUCUCAUCCUCUGUCGUCCCCUUCUCCUCCUGCCUUCAAUCUUUCCCAGCAUCAGGGUCUUUUCAAAUGAGUCAGCUCUUCCCAUCAGGUGGCCAAUGUAUUGGAGUUUCAGUUUCAGCAUCAGUCCCUCCAAUGAACACCCAGGACUGAUGUCCUUUAGGAUGGACUGGUUGGAUCUCUUUGCAGUCCAAGGGAUUCUCAAGAGUCUUCUCCAACACCACAGUUCAAAAGCAUCAGUUCUUUGGGGUUCAGCUUUCUUUAUCUAGAACUAAUGACAGAGGAAACAGACAGAACAAGCUCCAUCUUGAAAGCAGGGCUCCAUCUUGGGCCAGGCCGUGGACUUUGAGCUAUAUGCCCAGUAUCUAUGGAAACGACAUACCAACUGGAAAACCAGACCAAUCCCGCCCGCCCCCCACCAUGGAAGAGCCCCAGGGCUUGUACCUAGACUCUCUAUCCGCCUAAAAGAAUACCCUAAUUAUCUGUGUGACUGAACAGAAUCAGAAAUUCUAUUAUGCCUAUUGGGGUAUGACCACAGGCCUAUUGAUAAUUGUCCACUGUUAACUACCUAGGCUUAAGGCAUACGAAUCACUGGUUUAAGGCAUAUGAAUCUCGGGUUAACUUUGACUGUAUCUGUCUUUUCCUUUGUUCAGACUAGUUUCAGAGAAUUUGGGGAGGUGGGUUUGGGCACAUACACUUAGGGUAUACACAAACUGG